rnacentral:rRNA from 1 species
GACGAACGCUGGCGGCGUGCCUAACACAUGCAAGUUGAGCGACGAACCAGGGCUUGCCCUGGGGCAAAGCAGCGAACGGGUGAGUAACACGUGGGUAACCUACCCCGAUAACCGGGACAACCCGAGGAAACUCGGGCUAAUACCGGACGUGCUCACUGGACUUCGGUUCAGUGCGUAAAGGAAGCUUCGGCCUCCGUAUCGGGAGGGGCCCGCGGCCCAUUAGUUUGUUGGUGAGGUAACGGCUCACCAAGACCGCGAUGGGUAGCUGGUCGGAGAGGACGAUUAGCCACACUGGGAGUGAGACACGGCCGAGACACCGAGGGGAGGCAGCAGUGGGGAAUCCUGCGCGAUGCGCGAAAGGGUGACGCAGGAACGCCGCGGGGGGGAAGAAGGCGCUCGGGUUGGAGACCCCUGUCAGGAGGGACGAAGGAACGGCGGUGAAUAGCCGUCCGGACUGACGGUACCGCCAGAAGAAGCCCCGGCUAACUACGUG